rnacentral:rRNA from 1 species
CGGAGAGUUUGAUCCUGGCUCAGGACGAACGCUGGCGGCGUGCCUAAUACAUGCAAGUCGAGCGGGGUAGAGAGAGCUUGCUCUCGUAAACCUAGCGGCGGACGGGUGAGUAACACGUAGGCAACCUGCCUGUAAGCCUGGGAUAACUCCGGGAAACCGGAGCUAAUACCAGAUAAGCUGUAAGACCGCAUGGUCUUACACUAAAAGGAUGCGAUCCACUUACAGAUGGACCCGCGGCGCAUUAGCUAGUUGGUGAGGUAACGGCUCACCAAGGCGACGAUGCGUAGCCGACCUGAGAGGGUGAUCGGCCACACUGGGACUGAGACGCGGCCCAGACUCCUACGGGAGACAGCAGUAGGGAAUCUUCCGCAAUGGACGAAAGUCUGACGGAGCAACGCCGCGUGAGCGAAGAAGGCCUUCGGGUCGUAAAGCUCUGUUGUUAGGGAAGAACAAGUAUCGUUCGAAUAGGGCGGUACCUUGACGGUACCUAACCAGAAAGCCACGGCUAACUACGUGCCAGCAGCCGCGGUAAUACGUAGGUGGCAAGCGUUAUCCGGAAUUAUUGGGCGUAAAGCGCGCGCAGGCGGUCCUUUAAGUCUGAUGUGAAAGCCCACGGCUCAACCGUGGAGGGUCAUUGGAAACUGGGGGACUUGAGUGCAGAAGAGGAGAGCGGAAUUCCACGUGUAGCGGUGAAAUGCGUAGAGAUGUGGAGGAACACCAGUGGCGAAGGCGGCUCUCUGGUCUGUAACUGACGCUGAGGCGCGAAAGCGUGGGGAGCGAACAGGAUUAGAUACCCUGGUAGUCCACGCCGUAAACGAUGAGUGCUAAGUGUUAGAGGGUUUCCGCCCUUUAGUGCUGCAGCAAACGCAUUAAGCACUCCGCCUGGGGAGUACGGUCGCAAGACUGAAACUCAAAGGAAUUGACGGGGGCCCGCACAAGCGGUGGAGCAUGUGGUUUAAUUCGAAGCAACGCGAAGAACCUUACCAGGUCUUGACAUCCUUAUGCCAUCCCUAGAGAUAGGGCUUUCCCUUCGGGGACAUAAGUGACAGGUGGUGCAUGGUUGUCGUCAGCUCGUGUCGUGAGAUGUUGGGUUAAGUCCCGCAACGAGCGCAACCCUUGAUCUUAGUUGCCAGCAUUUAGUUGGGCACUCUAAGGUGACUGCCGGUGACAAACCGGAGGAAGGUGGGGAUGACGUCAAAUCAUCAUGCCCCUUAUGACCUGGGCUACACACGUGCUACAAUGGAUGGUACAAAGGGCAGCGAAACCGCGAGGUUAAGCGAAUCCCAUAAAACCAUUCUCAGUUCGGAUUGCAGGCUGCAACUCGCCUGCAUGAAGCCGGAAUCGCUAGUAAUCGCGGAUCAGCAUGCCGCGGUGAAUACGUUCCCGGGCCUUGUACACACCGCCCGUCACACCACGAGAGUUUGUAACACCCGAAGUCGGUGGGGUAACCGCAAGGAGCCAGCCGCCUAAGGUGGGAACAGAUGAUUGGGGUGAAGUCGUAACAAGGUAGCCGUA